rnacentral:rRNA from 1 species
AUACGGAGGGUGCAAGCGUUACUCGGAAUCACUGGGCGUAAAGCGCGCGCAGGCGGCUUGAUAAGUUGGAUGUGAAAGCCUACGGCUCAACCGUAGAACUGCAUCCAAAACUGUCAAGCUAGAGUCUGGGAGGGGAAGAUGGAAUUAGUUGUGUAGGGGUAAAAUCCGUAGAGAUAACUAGGAAUACCAAAAGCGAAGGCAAUCUUCUGGAACACUACUGACGCUGAGGCGCGAAAGCGUGGGGAGCAAACAGGAUUAGAAACCCCAGUAGUCC